AGUGAACGCUGGCGGUAGGCCUAACACAUGCAAGUCGAACGGCAGCACAGUAAGAGCUUGCUCUUACGGGUGGCGAGUGGCGGACGGGUGAGGAAUACAUCGGAAUCUACUUUUUCGUGGGGGAUAACGUAGGGAAACUUACGCUAAUACCGCAUACGACCUACGGGUGAAAGCAGGGGAUCUUCGGACCUUGCGCGAUUGAAUUAGCCGAUGUCGGAUUAGCUAGUUGGCGGGGUAAAGGCCCACCAAGGCGACGAUCCGUAGCUGGUCUGAGAGGAUGAUCAGCCACACUGGAAGUGAGACACGGUCCAGACUCCUACGGGAGGCAGCAGUGGGGAAUAUUGGACAAUGGGCGCAAGCCUGAUCCAGCCAUACCGCGUGGGUGAAGAAGGCCUUCGGGUUGUAAGCCCUUUUGUUGGGAAAGAAAAGCAGCAGGUUAAUACCCCGCUGUUCUGACGGUACCCAAAGAAUAAGCACCGGCUAACUUCGUG
rnacentral:rRNA from 1 species